GGAAGUAAAAGUCGUAACAAGGAUCAUUACAGAGUUCAUGCCCGAAAGGGUAGACCUCCCACCCUUGUGUAUUAUUACUUUGUUGCUUUGGCGAGCUGCUCUUCGGGGCCUUGUAUGCUCGCCAGAGAAUAUCAAAACUCUUUUUAUUAAUGUCGUCUGAGUACUAUAUAAUAGUUAAAACUUUCAACAACGGAUCUCUUGGUUCUGGCAUCGAUGAAGAACGCAGCGAAAUGCGAUAAGUAAUGUGAAUUGCAGAAUUCAGUGAAUCAUCGAAUCUUUGAACGCACAUUGCGCCCCUUGGUAUUCCGGGGGGCAUGCCUGUUCGAGCGUCAUUUCAACCCUCAAGCUCAGCUUGGUAUUGAGUCCAUGUCAGUAAUGGCAGGCUCUAAAAUCAGUGGCGGCGCCGCUGGGUCCUGAACGUAGUAAUAUCUCUCGUUACAGGUUCUCGGUGUGCUUCUGCCAAAACCCAAAUUUUCUAUGGUUGACCUCGGAUCAGGUAGGGAUACCCGCUGAACUUAAGCAUAUCAAUAAGCGGAGGA
rnacentral:rRNA from 1 species